GACGAACGCUGGCGGCGUGCUUAACACAUGCAAGUCGAACGGAAAGGCCCUGCUUUUGUGGGGUGCUCGAGUGGCGAACGGGUGAGUAACACGUGAGUAACCUGCCCUUGACUGUGGGAUAAUUUAAGGAAACUGGGGCUAAUACCGGAUAGGAGCUCCUGAUGCAUGGUGGGGGUUGGAAAGUUUCGGCGGUUGGGGAUGGACUCGCGGCGGAUCAGCUUGUUGGUGGGGUAGUGGCUUACCAAGGCUUUGACGGGUAGCCGGCCUGAGAGGGUGACCGGCCACAUUGGGACUGAGAUACGUCCCAGACUCCUACGGGAGGCAGCAGUGGGGAAUAUUGCACAAUGGGCGGAAGCCUGAUGCAGCAACGCCGCGUGCGGGAUGACGGCCUUCGGGUUGUAAACCGCUUUCGCCUGUGACGAAGCGUGAGUGACGGUAAUGGGUAAACAAGCACCGGCUAACUACGUG
rnacentral:rRNA from 1 species